GUGCUCACUUAGCAGUACAUAUUCUAAAACUGGGACAGUUUGGAGAAGAUUGGCAUGGCCCCUGUGCAAGGAUGAUACACAAAUACGUGAAGCAUUCCAUAUUUUC